rnacentral:rRNA from 1 species
CCUACGGGAGGCAGCAGUGGGGAAUAUUGCGCAAUGGGCGAAAGCCUGACGCAGCGACGCCGCGUGAGGGAUGAAGGCCUUCGGGUUGUAAACCUCUUUCAGCAGGGACGAAGCGAAAGUGACGGUACCUGCAGAAGAAGCACCGGCCAACUACGUGCCAGCAGCCGCGGUAAUACGUAGGGUGCAAGCGUUGUCCGGAAUUAUUGGGCGUAAAGAGCUCGUGGGCGGUUUGUCGCGUCGGCUGUGAAAACUCGGGGCUCAACCCCGAGCCUGCAGUCGAUACGGGCAAACUAGAGUGUGGUAGGGGAGACUGGAAUUCCUGGUGUAGCGGUGAAAUGCGCAGAUAUCAGGAGGAACACCGGCGGCGAAGGCGGGUCUCUGGGCCAUAACUGACGCUGAGGAGCGAAAGCGUGGGGAGCGAACAGGAUUAGAUACCCUGGUAGUCCACGCCGUAAACGUUGGGCGCUAGGUGUCGGGGACCUUCCACGUCUUCGGUGCCGCAGCUAACGCAUUAAGCGCCCCGCCUGGGGAGUACGGCCGCAAGGCUAAAACUUAAAGAGUAGUGGACGNGNGACGNGCGACGACGCACACGGAGGUAGG